GCCAAUGUAGGGACUGACGCAUUCAUUAUGGACCGUAACGGCGCAAGUUGGGAGCACGUAAGACAACUGAGAAGCGGAUUACAGUAGUCAAGGCGAGAAAGGACAGUGGAAUGGACCAACACAUUAGUCGCAUCUGGCGUUAAGUAGGGGCGGAUGCGUGCAAUGUUUUUGAUCUGGAAAUGACAGGAUUUGGCGAUAGAUUGAACAUGAGGCUUCGAAGGAGAGGUUGGAGUCAAAGAGAACACCUAGGCAGCGAGCCUGCGUGGUGGAGCUGAUGGUAGCACCGUUGACUUCGAGGGAGACAGACACAGGAGUAACAACACUUGAGGGAGGAAAGACCAGAAUUUCAGUUUUGGUCAAGUUUAGUUUAAGGAAGUGGGCAGCCAUCCAGUUAGAAAUAGCAGAGAGGCAGUCAGAGACACUAGUCAAAAGGGACGGGGAGAGAUCAGGAGUGGACAGGUAGAUUUGUGUGUCAUCCGCAUAGAAAUGAUAUUGGAAGCCAAAGGAGCUAAUGAGUUUAC